rnacentral:misc_RNA from 1 species
GAUGAAGAACGUAGCGAAAUGCGAUAAGUAAUGUGAAUUGCAGAAUUCAGUGAAUCAUCGAAUCUUUGAACGCACCUUGCGCCCUUUGGCCAUUCCGAAGGGCAUGCCUGUUGAGUAUCAUGAACACCUCAACUCUUUAUGGUUUUCCAUGAUGAGCUUGGACUCUGGGGGUUUUGCUGGCUCACAGUCGGCUCCUCUAAAAUGAAUCAGCUUACCAGUGUUUGGUGGGUAUCAUGGGUGUGAUAACUAUCUACGCUUGUGGUUUUUCCACCAGGUAACCUUCAGCAGUGGAGGUUCGCUGGAGCUCAUAGAUGUCUCUCCUCAGUGAGGACAGCCCUUUGAAUGUUUGAUCUCAAAUCAGGUAGGACUACCCGCUGAACUUAAGCAUAUCAAUAAGCGGAGGA